GCAGAUUUACAACAAUUUGGACAGUCAUGUAAAUGUUUGACAAAUGUAACUACUUUUCUGCAAGAUAUAUUUGCGGACCUGCUAAUGUAUAUGUAAAUGUAUUAUUCCUUUGACAUUAUUUAGGAGGUAGUCAAAGAUAUGCUAAAGAUAAUUAUUUUAUUUCCAUAGCUUUAGUCAUUCUCCAAAGAUAUGUAAAUAUAGGCCAUAGAUUUACAUGCACUUUCCAAGAUAGGAGAUAUAUGCAAAGUUUAAAAUAUGCAUAACUGAUUUACAGUGGUGUGGGCAGUUUUGAGAGACCGCGGUUUAUAAAACAUUAACAACCAAUGUAAAUGCUGACAAAUGUUUGUGUUAUUUUUGCAAACGUUUGUCG
rnacentral:lncRNA from 1 species